rnacentral:lncRNA from 13 species
GGGUGGACCAGAGACUGCAGGAGGCGCAAGAGGAGAUUGCUAAAGCCUCUACAGUAAAGGACUCUCAGGGUAGGAUGGAGCAUGAACAGGAGUGCCUGUUUUAUUGCAAUUUGGACAGAUUCUGGAGCCUUUUGUUGUUGGCAACUCUACCCAAGCAUUGAUUUAUUGACAUAUGGCUGAGAGGUGUUGCCAUUAAUGAAGCUUCGGCCUGCUGGAUGAUGCCAGCCUAAACUUUUCAGCAGGGUAAAACUUCUGGCUCUUGAAUCUGGGAUCAAGACCAACAGCUUCCACAUAGAAAAUGCUACUAACACAAAAGAGAAGCACUCUGCAAAAAUCAACCAUGAAGACUCAAGUUAAGUACAAAUAUUGCUGACAAGAGUUGUUUACAUUUUUGAUUAGUUUUCUUCCUGCUAUGCUGUUUGCAUAAUUCCAAGUAUGGCAGUUAAUUUCUAAUUAUGAAGGCUGCUCAUUGCUUUAUUUAGAAAAUAAAUAGUGCCCUUGGAUUCA